UACGGAGGGUGCAAGCGUUAUCCGGAUUCACUGGGUUUAAAGGGUGCGUAGGCGGCCCGGUAAGUCAGUGGUGAAAGCUCCCAGCUUAACUGGGAAACUGCCAUUGAAACUGCCAGGCUUGAAUACAGUUGAAGUAGGCGGAAUACAACAUGUAGCGGUGAAAUGCUUAGAUAUGUUGUAGAACACCGAUUGCGAAGGCAGCUUACUAAGCUGUGAUUGACGCUGAGGCACGAAAGCGUGGGGAGCGAACAGG
rnacentral:rRNA from 1 species